AGGGUGUUGGUUUUUCUCACUGAAGCUACCACUCGUGCAAUUUUGAUUGGUGAUUGUGACUUAGUCCUCCUCGUGAUCUACGGCAAGAAAGUUGAUUGUGGCCAUACCUGUUGGAGUAGUAAAGACAAACGUUCAAAUUGCUCUUCUUGAUGUAACCCCCAAGCUGUAGGCUGCUGUUAUUUUAAGAGGUGGAGACGCAUUAUCUGAAAUGGCUGUUGCAAUGUAUUGAAAUUAAAUUUUAUUAAACUCUGGAAAGUGCAGUGGGCUGUUGGACCACCUGGACAGCGAGGCGCGAGAGUUGGAAGUGUUUCCACCAUUACGUCAGAUACUCCUCUGCCGCAGAUUUGGAAGAUUUGCAAUAUUGUGGGUUGUAGAAGGUCCUUCCAAGAUAACUUCAGGAACAGUUGCAGAACAAUCGCUGGAAGUGUUAAAUGCUACAGAAAGUAGCAUAGUUGUCAGAAUUAGAGGGCCAAAGUUUAUUUAGUUUAAUAGAAUAUUGAUGGGAAAGUCUAACUUCAGCCCUGAGUUUGAAGGUGUUAAUUGCUUGACAUUCUGAAUAGGUGGUAUGGAAGAUUACAAUGUCAUCAAAGCAUUGACUGGCUUCAGUGUGGUUGUUCUACUCUGCAAAUCUACGAAAGUUGGUGGAUGUUGUCCUUGGUACUCUGGGGUUUUCUCUGGCAUUUUGAUGGUCUUUGAGUCUUCAGUGGAUUGAAUCUAGGAGCAGCAGCUUCCCACAACCUGAAAUAGACAAUAGUCAAUGUUACACUGUAAACUAUUAAAUAAAUAUUCCAAUGAAACUUUAUACUGUACUUUAUCCUGAAAUUAGCAAAGAUUCUAUCAUGCUGGAAAUUACUGAUGCAAAGAACUUGUGAAAUUUAUAAAUAAGUUACUAAAGUGAAAAAUUAAUUGACAUCACUAACUUCAGAGUUUCCUGCAAGUAAUAUGCCAAACUGGAUUAAGCUGAUAAAUCUAAACUAACAUUACUAAUUUGCAAAGUAUCUUAAUUUUACACUUGACUAAAAUUAAACUUUACAAUUGUAUAGACUACAUUUAAGGCUAAGCAACAUCUAAACAUUGAUGGAAGUGUUGUAAAAAAAAAAUACGUUGACUUAAAUGUCAAACUAAAACAUCUAUACAAUAUGGUUUUUCACCAAUACCUUACUAAAUGCCAGACCUGGAACACUGUGGUUCCAGUAAUCA